rnacentral:tRNA from 1 species
GUGGCUGAAUGGUUACGCUGUUCGCUUUGUAAGCGGAUAAUCAUGGGUUCGAUUCCCAUC